rnacentral:rRNA from 1 species
UGAGGAAUAUUGGUCAAUGGCCGAGAGGCUGAACCAGCCAAGUCGCGUGAGGGAAGAAUGUCCUAAGGAUUGUAAACCUCUUUUGUCGGGGAGCAAAAAAGGCUCUGCGGAGUCGUAUUGAGAGUACCCGAAGAAAAAGCAUCGGCUAACUCCGUGCC